GGUUUUUGUCUAUUCUGAGUUGUACAAUUAUUACUACAGUUAUGGAGGACAUUUCCAUCAUUCAUUCCAUCACUCCCUAUUCACAUUCCUAGGCAAUUGGUGACUUUCUUUCUGCCUCUGUAGAUCUACCUGUGGUUACAAAUUUAAAACUGAAGUCAGGUGUAGUGACGCAUGCCUUUAAUUGCAGCACUCGGGAUAAAGUGCUCAUGGAGGCCAGAAAAGGAAAUGGAACUAGAGUCCCCUGGAAUUGGAGUUAUAGGUGGUUGUGAGCCAUCAAUGUGGAGGCUGAGAAAUGAAUCCGAGUCCUCUGCAAGAGCAAAAGUGAUCUUAACUGCUGAGCCAUCUCUCGACCCCAUUUUAGCCAUUUUUAAGUGUACCAUUUAUAUUCUUGUGUGACCACCACCACCAAACAUUUUCAUAACUCCUUCAUCUUUCUGCACUUACAGUCUCCUCAGUUUUUCUCCUAAGUUCCUGGUAACCAGCAUUCUCCUUUCCCUCUGGCAUCUGACAACCCUAGCCACUCCUUAUAAUUGAAUCCACACAAUAUUUGUCCUUUUGUGACUGGUUCAUUAUACUUAGCAUAAUGUCCUCAAGGUUCAGCCAUGGUAUGGCACAAGUCAGAAUGAGACCUUUUGGGGGCAGGGUCUCACUAUGUAGCUCAGGAUGGUCUGAAGCUUGUAGUCUUCCUGUGUCAACCUUCUGAGUGCUGGGAUUAUAGGUGUGCACCACCACACCUGGCUUCCAUGUCUUUUUAGUGCUUAAUGAGGUUCUUUUGUAUGGAUGUGCCAUAUUUGUUCCUGUUCUGCCCAUGCAGUGGACAUCUGGUUUUAUACUUUCUGGCAAUUGUGACAAAUGCCACUGUCUUAGAGUUGCUAUUGCUGUGAUGAUACACCAUGAUCAAAAGUAAGAUGGGGAGAAAAUGGUUUAUUUGGCUUAUACUUCCACAUCACAGUUCAUCAUCAAAAGUAUCACUACAAGAACUCAAGUAGGGUAGGAACCUGGAGGCAGGAACUGAUGUAGAAGCCAUGAAGGAGUGCUGCUUACUGGCUUGUUCCUCAUAGCUUCCUCAGCCUGCUUUCUUACAGAACCCAGGAUCAACUUCCAAGGGAUGGCAUCACUCACAGUGGAUAGCUGGGUCCUCCCCCAUCAAUUACUAAUUAAGAAAAUGCCCCACAGGCUUUCCUACAGCCUGAUCUUAUGGAGGCAUUUUCUCAAUUGGAGUUCCCUUCUCUCAUGACUCUAGCCUAUGUCAAGUUGACAUAAAACCACCCAGCACAGCCACCAUGAACACUGAUGAGCUAAUUUAUGUAUAGAAAUGCUUUCAUUUCCCUUGGGUGCACUAUUAAGAGUAGGAUUGCAGAACUAUGCAUGACUUUACAAAUACAUCCUUAGUGUACUUAUUUUAUUUUUUCCUUAGUGUAUUUAUUUUUAUUCUGAGUUUUGAAGAGAUUAUUAGGUCUAAGAAUAAUAGCCUUCUAUGACCUCAGAAAGAUUUUUAUGUAUUAAUUUUUAAAAACAAAACCCCACCUCCUUUUCUGGCAUAUCCCUUGAUACCUGUUGCCCAGAUUGUUUUCAGAAUUGUGAAAUUCAUGUUACCUUAUCAAAGCAUAAUAUGGUUCAAUAUGACCUUCCCAGAAGUGGGCGGUAUUCUGUUCAAGAUAAAUGCUAAUUUCAGUGUAAAUGUUUAAUUUCACUGUUUUGACUUGGAUGUUUUUUUUUAUUACUGACUGGUCUUCCUUUGUUGAUUAGGUCUCUGAAUGAAUAACAUUUGAGUUAAUAUCUGUUUCUUCCCAGAUGUGUUGCUGUUGAUGAUGCCACAGGUACCUUUGGGUGCUGCUGAUCCUGUAAUAGGGGUACCCAGUUCUGAAGAGCAGCUCUUUGUAGGAGUUAGUUAAAGCACUCUGACAUUAGUACGCACACCCAGCGCGAGCCCCUGGUAACUUCUGGAAGGCUUUGUCCUGGCUUGGAAUUUCAUAGUGGGUCUUUGAGGCAGAAAGUAAAUCUUCCUGUCAGUUUGGUUCAUGGUGAUACUUUUGGCCCCUGGCUGCCUCAUAGAGUUGGUUGGUCCCUGGCUAGCAGAGCAUACUUAAGGUUUCUUCGCCCACUCCCUAGGUGGGAGUCAGGGCAGCUACCCUUUUCUACCACUGGGAGGCUGUGCUGCUGAAAGCCUUGGAGAUAUUCAGGCCUUUUUCUCUUGAAUUCCAUCUUUCCUCAAAUCCAGUCCCUAAAUACACAUAAAGUGCAGUUCAUAGGAGCGGGUAUUCAGCUCAGUUGCAGGGUGCUUGUCUAAGACAGUCAGUACCUUGGCUUUAAUCCCCAGAGAAAUACACACACACACACACACACACACACACACACACACACACACACACACACAGAGAGAGAGAGAGAGACAGAGAGAGACAGAGAGAGACAGAGAGAGAGAAAGAUCAACCUGUGUUCAUAACAUUAUCUGUAUUAGUCCAAAAGUUGAUAUAUCUCGGUAUGAUGGAAUAUUUGGAGCAAAGACUCAAUGGUAGUACUCUUGACUGGCUUGUGUUGAUCCCCAGCACUGUCUCACUCCCUCUCUCCCCCUCCCUCCGUCCCUCACCCCCCCCCACAUUAUGAUUCAUAUUUAUUACACCCUAUUAUAUUCGUGGUUUCAUGUUUGUAUCACUAGUUUGCCUAGUGUACUCUGAGGAGGUAUUCCUGUUAUGCCCACCUUUCAGUGACUAAACUGAGUUGGUGAGUAUAUGAAAUGGGCCCAGUGUCACAGUGAGCCCAACUGCCUCCCUGUCUAUCAGAUUAGAAAGCAUGCCCUCGACCAGUGUGGUGUCCUGGCCCCUUACUUCACUAAGCAGUUACAGUGACCUGUCCCUGCUUCUGUACCUGUCCUGAAAGGAACAAAAGAAUUCUCAAGAGACAUUUGUACCUCUCCCUUUGGCUGUCAGGAAUAUCGAGCUGGAGAAAGAAAAGGCUUCCUUGUGCAGCUGGAAGAAGAACUUGGCACAUCUCUGAUAACUUCUCAGACCACUUUGCAGAAAAGAAGCCAAGAUACAAUGGCAAGAUCACCCUUGCUAAGGACUGCUUAGCUGGACAUACCUUGUGCUCUAGUUAACUCUAAACUCAUGUUAGGACUGUGCAGGUGGACCUGAGGGAGUGUCUCUGGACCUCUUUAUUGGUCCCUCUUCCCAGAGUGGCCACACUGAAUAAACCUCCUCUCUCUGCUUCUCACUGUUAGUUAGCUCUAUAAUUGGCCCACUGAGGAUCACUGGAUGAGCCUGGCGUGAUGGGGCUGCGGGGUCUGCUCUGACCCUGACUCCAGUAGCACUUCCUGCUUACAGUCUGUAUAGUGCAGCCACCGAGCUGUUCCCAGAGUGAUGUGUCACAGGCACCCCUGUUGAAAGCCCCGGCUGCAGGAAGGGAAAAGACUCUUCUCAGUUGGUCUUCACUCUUUGCCUCCCUGACAGCUCUGCUCCCCGCUUCCCAUCCUCCAAAUUCCUGCUCUCCCACCUUUAUAUGUACCUCCUCUCCCUCUGUUGUCAUUGCUAAUCACCCCUCAUCUUUGGGACUGCUGGUCUCUUUUUGUACACACACCCAUGCUGACACUUGUCCCUCACGUCCUAGCUCUCUGCUUGCAAGUCUGUGGUCUGCUAAACUCCCUCAGCACAAAGGCUCUGUUCCCAUCACAGCCUAGCACAGUGCCUGGCGGGAAGAGGCCGCUCAGCUUCAUACAUUUUGUUCGUUUGUUGUGUGCUGCUGGGCCGAACCUAGGCCUUCGGUAUGUCAGGCAAGCAACUCUACCACCUACACUAGCCCUUCAGCUCAUGUUUUGGACUUAAACCAGAAAGUCUCUAGGUGGCCUUUCUUAUUUUCCUUCCCCAAUGAAUAGUACUCCUGACUCCCAUGAGCGGAGACUGUAAUUAGGCUAUCUGGUGUCUUCUCUUAAAGAACUGUGCCCACUAGAGGCCCACGGGUGACGUAUGUAGGACCGCGAUGCACUCUGAAGAAGAAGUUGGCAGCCACGCCUGCAGGGGAAAGAGGAGACGCAGACAAGACGUCUGGGAUGUCCCCUGCUCCCACACCAAGCUCUCCACUGGGCUUAAGCCAGAGCUCUGCCUGAGCACUGGCUUCCAGAGGACUUUUAUUUUCUCAGUCAGCAGGAGAGAGCAGCCUAUUUGGCUGGGGGAAGCCAUCCUCCCAGCCUGCUGGCUUCUUCAGGGGCCCCUUCUCCUGGUGGCAGCUGGUGGCUGUGGUGGUGGCCACAGCGUUUCCAGCCCAGCCCUCCGGAGCCCUUUCUGUACUCGUCUACUCCCCACAUAACACAUUCCACCAAGUACAGAGAAGGGAGCUCAUCAGACUUGUGACUGCACCCGGAGAACAGACCCCCCAUGCGUUUGAAAUCUGUGGAUUCUCCUUAAGGGAAUUCCAGUUGAAAAAGAACUUGGGUCAGCAGCCUUGGGCCUGUGUGGCUAACAAGCUCCUAUUUUCUCUGUUGUUGGGCUGGCCUGAAGGGCCUCUUUGUUUGGGGUAGGGGUGGAUGUGAUGCCCUAAUGAGGCCCUGUGGAAUCCUGGCUCACACACAGCAGCCUGCGGGAUGGAACUCUCCAGGCAGGAAAGCAAGUUGAAGUUACAAACCUGACUGGAAAGGAAAGGGAGACUGAAACACCUAAUGUAUGUGGAAAAGCUGAUGAGAGAGCUGAGGAUGAACCCAGUGGUCACGCAGUUGCUCAGCAUAGGCCAUGUACAAGUUCCACCCCUGUGGCCCAGACUGAAGUGUGCUUGGGAUGAGUGUGCAUUCCGUGAAGAUUUGAGAUCAUAGCUUUGAGGGCAAGAGGCUGCUGUGGAGACUGACAUCAGCACCAUGCCACCUCUCCACCUCCUGUCCAAGGGCCAAGUUCCUGCCCUGAGUUCCUGUUCUGACUUCCCUCAGUGAUGGAGUAUGGCCUGAAAG